rnacentral:rRNA from 1 species
AACGAACGCUGGCGGCAUGCCUAACACAUGCAAGUCGAACGAGACCUUCGGGUUUAGUUGCGCACGGGUGCGUAACGCGUGGGAACUUGCCCUUAGGUUCGCAAUAACUCCCCGUAAGGUGUGCUAAUACCGGAUAAUGUCUUCGGACCUAAGAUUUAUCGCGGUUGGAUGGGCUCUCGUUGGAUUAGCUAGUUGGUGGUGUAGAAGCCUACCAAGGCGUCGAUCGAUAGCUGGUCUGAGAGGAUGACCAGCCACACUGGGACUGAGAUACGGCACAGACUCCUACGGGAGGCAGCAGUGGGGAAGAUUGCACAAUGGGCGGAAGCCUGAUGCAGCAACGCCGCGUGCGGGAUGACGGCCGUCGGGUUGUAAACCGCAUUCGCCUGAGACGAAGCGUGAGUGACGGUAAUGGGUAAAGAAGCACCGGCUAACUACGUG